UGGAUUCAGUUGAGAGUUGUGUUUUAAAACGAAUGGACGUGAGUGCGGAGAAUUAAAAAAAAAGAAUUAUAAAAGUAUAAGCAAAAAAGCUGAAAAAGAAACAAAAAAACAACCAAUACUAGUUAAAAAACUAUUACACAAAAACCGCUUUUGUAUAAAAAAUAAAUAAAAGUGAACAAAAAUAUACAAAAAAGUUACAUAUUUAUUGAACAAAACAGAGGAGGAUACAACAACAAAUAAUAAAUUAAAAAUUACACAAAUAUUUUUAACAAAUUGUUAGUAAUUUAUUUGUGCAAAACCUGUCAACAAGUGAAUGAACUCUUCCUUCUAAACACCCUUUAAAGAUCACCUGGAAUUUUAGAAAUACCAAAAAGCAACCACACAACACUAAAAAAAGUUCAAACAAUAAAUUUAAGCAAAAUUUUUAUUUUGAACUUUUUUAACUAAAAGAGAAGAAACCCCCCC